CCUACGGGUGGCAGCAGUGAGGAAUAUUGGUCAAUGGACGAAAGUCUGAACCAGCCAAGUCGCGUGCGGGAUGACGGCCCUACGGGUUGUAAACCUCUUUUAUCGGGGAACAAAGCGAGUCACGUGUGACUCAUUGCGAGUACCCGAAGAAUAAGCAUCGGCUAACUCCGUGCCAGCAGCCGCGGUAAUACGGAGGGUUCGGGCGUUAUCCGGAUUUAUUGGGUUUAAAGGGUGCGUAGGCGGUCAUUUAAGCGGGCGGUAAAAUGUCGGGGCUCAACCCCGGCCUGCCGUCGGAACUGGGGGCCUUGAGUGGGCGAGAAGUAGGCGGAAUGCGUGGUGUAGCGGUGAAAUGCAUAGAUAUCACGCAGAACCCCGAUUGCGAAGGCAGCAUACCGGCGCGCUACUGACGCUGAGGCACGAAAGUGCGGGUAUCAAACAGGAUUAGAUACCCUGGUAGUC
rnacentral:rRNA from 1 species